UCAGCCUCGGAGAGCUCCUGUCCAUCUGAGAAGCCAGAUGGAGGUUGAAGAGGAACCACCUCCUGACACACUAUACUGCCUCUGGGACAACUAACUUCGGAAAACAGAAACUUUCCUUUAGAAGAUGGUCCAAAAAUCUUGGAGAGAACCAUGAACAGAUAUAAUGUAAACACACAAAGAAUAAAAUAUUUGGAAAGAUAAAUACAUAUCUGAAAGUGAUAAGAAUGGAAACAGAACUGAACAGACUGGAGGCCUGCAAACAGACAGAAAAGCUCAAUGAAUAUCAGGCAGGAUUUCCACACAACACUUUACUGAUUUUUAUUAAAAAAGACAGAACAGGCAUUUGGGUGAAAGUGGUUGAAAACAUAGCAAAAUCGCACAAUGUGAGUGAAGAAGGAUUAAAACAUCAAGAUUAACUUCUUACUCACCAGCAAAAAUGAUGUAUAAUAACAAAAGCAGUCACAAUAAUGAAACGUGUUUCUUAAUCAACAUUAAUUAAAUCAAGAACAUACAUUUGGAAUGGGGGAAAAAUAUAGGAAUUUAAUUCAGUGCAACACUUUCUUCCAUAAUCCGAUCCACAUGUUAAUCUGCAUACCCUGCCUUCAAGUCUACAAUAAUUACAGGAUAAGGGGAUGGUGAAUAGAGUUGCCCUGACUGACUAUGAUUUGCUCCUUGUUGGUCAUUAUUGCGCUGGUUUUCAAGUUCAGCCAAAGACUUUGCUCCAUAUCCAGGAUCACCUUGUUUAUAACCUGCAUAGUGCCUGUGUCAUACAAGAAAUGUUAUGUCCAUUUUCAUUCAGUGAGAAGAAAAACUCUGGACUGACAAAACAAAGAUAUAUCCUAAAUUUAAUCUUUAGAGGGAAUCUGUUCAUGGUAAUUUUAGAAAUGAAGUAUGUUUGAAUUAUGCAGUUCUUCUAUGGUGAAAAUUAGUCAUCUAGGAUCAGGCCUACUAAUAAAUAUUUUAAGAGAGUAAACAGAAUACUUUGCCUCAAGUUAUUAGUUACACUAAUAAAUAUUGUGACAUGUUUGGAGUAGAUACUUCCAUGGUAACACAACAGCGAGCCGUUGCGUAGGAAUUGCAGAAUCAACGAAGCAGCGUUUCCUCGGAGAUGAAUAACAGAAGGCCGUUGAGUAACAACGGAUGAGACAAAACUCGUUACCAGUGUAAACACAUGAGAUCAAACCUUGGUGAGGGGUGUCGUCUACUGAGUCCGCAGAACACCUACAUAAGCCAAGAGCCAAAGACAGCAACACAAUACAGUUGGAACCUAGUCAGCAUACUAUACAGUUGAAAGAUAGCCACCGCAGAAUACAGUUGAAGUGAUAACAAUUGUAAGGUGUGUAAGAUUGAGUGUCCAAUAAAGAUUUGCUAAAUCCGA